CCCUCUCUCUUCUCCCCCGACCCCUUCCCCUUUCGGCCCGAACUGGUUUACCUCCGAUUUCUCCCUCCUCCGGCCGACCCACGACGGAAUCCGGCUACCCCCAGGCUCGUCUCCUCCCCCUUGACACAUUGGCGGUGGUGUUUUGUGAAGAUUUGGCCGGAGAAGCUUGAUUUCGCGCCGGGAAGGUAAUGUGUGGAGGUCGAAUCGAUCGAACCCGAUACUAGGGUUCUUGAAUUUUUCUGGAAAAUUUUCACCGGCUUAAUUGGAGCUCUU
rnacentral:lncRNA from 1 species